GAUGAACGCUAGCGGCAGGCUUAAUACAUGCAAGUCGAGGGGCAGCAUGAGUGUAGCAAUACAUUUGAUGGCUACCGGCAAACGGGUGCGGAACACGUACACAACCUUCCUAUAAGUGGGGAAUAGCCCAGAGACAUUUGGAUUAAUACCCCGUAACAUAAUGAUGUGGCAUCACAUUAUUAUUAUAGCUACGGCGCUUAUUGAUGGGUGUGCGGUUGAUUAGUUAGUUGGCGGGGUAAAGGCCAACCAAGUCUACGAUCAGUAGCUGGUGUAAGAGCAUGAUCAGCCACACGGGCACUGAGACACGGGCCCGACUCCUACGGGGGGCAGCAGUAAGGAAUAUUGGUCAAUGGACGCAAGUCUGAACCAGCCAUGCCGCGUGAAGGAUUGAGGUCCUCUGGAUUGUAAACUUCUUUUAUCUGGGACGAAAAAAGGCGAUUCUUCGUCACUUGACGGUACCAGAUGAAUAAGCACCGGCUAACUCCGUGCCAGCCGCCGCCGUAAUAC
rnacentral:rRNA from 1 species